UACGGGGGGGGGCAAGCGUUGUUCGGAAUUACUGGGCGUAAAGAGCUCGUAGGCGGCUUGGCAAGUCGGGUGUGAAAACUCCAGGCUCAACCUGGAGACGCCACCCGAUACUGCCAUGGCUAGAGUCCGGUAGGGGACCACGGAAUUCCUGGUGUAGCGGUGGAAUGCGCAGAUAUCAGGAGGAACACCGGUGGCGAAGGCGGGAUCCUGGGCCAGUACUGACGCUGAGGAGCGAAAGCGUGGGGAGCAAACAGG
rnacentral:rRNA from 1 species